rnacentral:rRNA from 1 species
GACGAACGCUGGCGGCAUGCCUAAUACAUGCAAGUCGAGCGAACAGAUGAAGUGCUUGCACUUCUGACGUUAGCGGCGAACGGGUGAGUAACACGUAAGGAAUCUACCUAUAAGCGGGGGAUAACAUUCGGAAACGGGUGCUAAUUCCGCAUAAUAUCUUCUUCCGCAUGGAAGAAGAUUGAAAGACGGCUCUGCUGUCACUUAUAGAUGACCUUGCGGUGCAUUAGUUAGUUGGUGGGGUAACGGCCUACCAAGACGAUGAUGCAUAGCCGACCUGAGAGGGGGAUCGGCCACAUUGGGACUGAGACACGGCCCAAACUCCUACGGGAGGCAGCAGUAGGGAAUCUUCCGCAAUGGGCGAAAGCCUGACGGAGCAAUGCCGCGUGAGUGAAGAAGGCCUUCGGGUCGUAAAACUCUGUUAUAAGAGAAGAACAAAUUGUAGAGUAACUGCUACAGUCUUGACGGUAUCUUAUCAGAAAGCCACGGCUAACUACGUGCCAGCCGCCGCAGUAA